AUAGUUCUAAAGAUGCCAUUAUUUUGGUGUAGGUGAAGUAUUUGCAGAUAGCAAAGACAUCAAAAACACAAAAUCCUUAUCGUUGGGUUAGAUAUGUAACCCAAGCAAACUCAUACGUUGCCCGGUUGUAAUUGGAAUCUCUGCAAGUCCAAAUUCUGAGUUAAAUUUGGGGGGAUGGCAGCAUAUAGAGUGAAAAGAUGGCAGGCUCCCUGCCUGUACAAGAUUAUGAAUGAAAAUGAAUAUAUGUACAAGACAAAUUACUAAGCAGGCAAUGAUAAUAAAACUGUGUAAUUUGAGGAGAACUUGUAAAACUUAAAAUUGUUUACUUUAUGUAAUCUCAUCUCAGUAGUCUUAUGAUGUGGGUAGCCUCCUUGGUAAUGGGUUGGACUGGAGAGAUUCGUUAUAAUGUAUAUGCCAUUGAACUUGAGCUGGUUUUUGACGGGAA